rnacentral:rRNA from 1 species
AUUGAACGCUGGCGGCAGGCCUAACACAUGCAAGUCGAGCGGUAGAGAGUAGCUUGCUACUCUUGAGAGCGGCGGACGGGUGAGUAAUGCCUAGGAAUCUGCCUAGUAGUGGGGGAUAACGUUCGGAAACGGACGCUAAUACCGCAUACGUCCUACGGGAGAAAGUGGGGGAUCUUCGGACCUCACGCUAUUAGAUGAGCCUAGGUCGGAUUAGCUAGUUGGUGAGGUAAUGGCUCACCAAGGCUACGAUCCGUAACUGGUCUGAGAGGAUGAUCAGUCACACUGGAACUGAGACACGGUCCAGACUCCUACGGGAGGCAGCAGUGGGGAAUAUUGGACAAUGGGCGCAAGCCUGAUCCAGCCAUGCCGCGUGUGUGAAGAAGGUCUUCGGAUUGUAAAGCACUUUAAGUUGGGAGGAAGGGCAGUAACUUAAUACGUUGCUGUUUUGACGUUACCGACAGAAUAAGCACCGGCUAACUCUGUGCCAGCAG